CCUACGGGUGGCAGCAGUAGGGAAUCUUCCACAAUGGGCGCAAGCCUGAGGGAGCAACACCGCGUGAGUGAAGAAGGGGUUCGGCGCGGAAAGCUCGGUUGGUGGAGAAGAACGUGCGUGAGAGUAACUGUUCACGCAGGGACGGUAUCAAACCAGAAAGUCACGGCUAACUACGUGCGAGCAGCCGCGGCAAUACGUCGGUGGCAAGCGUUAGCCGGAUUUAUUGGGCGGAAAGCUAGCGCAGGCGGUUGCUUAGGUGUGCUGUGAAAGUCUUCGGCUUAACCGAAGAAGUGCAUCGGAAACCGGGCGACUUGAGUGCAGUAGAGGCCAGUGGACCUCCAUGUGUAGCUGUGAAAUGCGUAGAUAUAUGGAAGAACACCAGUGGCGAAGGCGGCUGUCUGGUCUGCAACUGACGCUGAGGCUCGACAGCCUGGGUAGCGAACAGGAUUAGAUACCCCAGUAGUC
rnacentral:rRNA from 1 species